AGGGUAAAAAAGCAAAAUUGGGCGGAAAUUGUAGCAGCAUAGCAUUGAUGGGUUUGGCGAGAUUUGGGCGUCCGAAGGGAGCACCAGAAGGGCAGUUGAGCCCCAACCUGUUCGUCGCCAACUGUGGGCCCGCCGUGGGACUCUCCCACGACGCCAUUGCUUCGGCGUUUGGGGCCUUCGGUCAAGUCAAAGGCGUCUACGCAGCCGACGACACCGGUGCUCGUGUCGUUGUCUCCUUUGCUGAAGAGGCCUCUGCCCAGAACGCCUUGAAUGCGUUGCAUGGCCGCCCUUGUGCUCACCUCGGGGGUCGUACCUUGCACAUUCGCUAUUCUGUUCUUCAACCCACCUCACUGGGUCGAGUCAAUGACUCUGUGGAAGCAUCUUUACUGGAUUCGGAGUUGAAUAUUCCUGGCCUCUACUUAUUCCACGAUUUUGUCACGGCUGAAGAAGAGGAGGAGCUCCUUGCAGCAGUUGAUGAAAGGCCUUGGAAAAAUCUUGCAAAAAGAAGGGUUCAGCAUUAUGGCUAUGAAUUUUGUUAUGAGACAAGGAAUGUUGAUUCUAAGAAGAAUUUAGGUGAAUUUCCAGCAUUUGUUCCCCCUAUACUUGAAAGAAUAUCUAUGCUUCCGAAGCGCGAGGAUGUUGAAACUAUAGCUUUGGACCAAUUAACGGUUAAUGAGUAUCCACCUGGGGUGGGCUUGUCCCCACAUAUUGAUACCCAUUCUGCUUUUGAGGGAUUAAUUUUCAGCCUUUCGUUAGCAGGGCCUUGCAUCAUGGAGUUCAGAAGAUACUUUGAAGGUGACCGGCCACCUAGAACUUCCUCAAGUAUUGAUAUCGAAACGGAAAAUUCUGAAAACAAUUCAAAUUUCUUAAGGAGGGCUAUAUAUCUUCCCCCUCGGUCUUUGUUACUAUUAUCUGGAGAGGCACGCUAUGCUUGGCAUCACUACAUUCCACAUCAUAAGUGCUUGUUUGACAGAUUGACAAGGUAAAAGACAGUGUGAUCAGAAGAGGCUCAAGGAGGGUGUCUUUCACAUUUCGUAAGGUCAGAACAACUCCUUGCCAAUGUGAAUUUCCACAAUACUGUGAUUCUCAGAGAUAAAAAGGGCAUGUUGAUUGGAGUUAUCGGUGCUUUUAAUCUUGUCAUCAUUAUUGGAGAUGGUUGACGUGGCGAUAUCUCAUUAGGUGGAUUUCAUUCUUUGAUCUUCUAAGACAUGACUCGGCUGUUGAAGUUUUAGAGUUGGUUGCUCAGACCUUGUAGGGAGGAUUUUAGUGACUGAAAAGUCACUUACCAACUUUAUUGGAUUAAACCGGGGUGGGUGAAAUGGCAAUCCAUGUAGCAAGUUACUUGCUGGUCUUCGGAGUAAAAAGCCAUUGGAAAUGGAAUGAAAUAUAGAUUUCUUAUUGAUAGAGACAUAUGUAUCCUAUUUUGUGUGUUAUUUUGUUGUAGUUAGAACUUUGUAGUGGAGCCUCCAGAGUUUAGUAUUAUGAUCAAUAUUAUACAAGUAGUGAAAGGAGAAGAAAUAGUUUUGCCAAUAUAUACAA